rnacentral:misc_RNA from 1 species
GCCUUUACGCCACUGGCUCGAGACGGGUUCUACGUGUUGUAACUUAUCAGAUCAUCUUUGUAGUUUUAUUUUAAAAAAAAAGUCAUCGCUUGUUUGUUUCUGAUUAUGAAUUUAUCAACCAUUUCUUUAGUUUCUUAACAGAAAACCGCUAGUUUGCCGUCCGGUAUUACCAAAAUAGGUGUAUUCUUGGCCUCAAGUGCAUAAAUAGUGGGCUGCGGUUUGUUAUUUCUGUAAUCAUACAUCAAUGAUGACGUAAAGUCUUGCAAAACUCAUUAGCAGAAUUCAUGAAACGAUAGAAACACUUGUCUAGUGAUGGCACAACAGGAAUAUAUAUCAUACUGGAAAAUUUCGUCUUACUACUGCAACAUUUCAUGUGACUCUCUGGAAAUUUCAUAGUGGAACAUGUCAUGUGACUCUCUGGAAAUGUCAUAUUGGAACAUGUCAUGUGACUCUCUGGAAAUGUCAAACUGGAACAUGUCAUGUGACCCUGGAAAUGUCAUCUUGAAACAUUUCAUGUGGUUCUGAAAAUCCCAUACAGGAACAUUUCAUGUGACUCUGGAAAUGUCAUAUUGGAACAUUUCAUGUGGUUCUGAAAAUAUCAUAUUGGAACUUUUCAUGUGACUCUCUGGAAAUGUCAUACCGCAGCAUUUCAUGUGACUCUGGAAAUGUCAUUUUAGAACAUUUCAUGUGACUCUCUGGAAAUGUCCUAUUAGAACAAUUUUUCAAAAUUUUAUUUUAUCAUGGAAACAGUUGUGUGAUACUAUAUGAUUCAAACCAUAUAGGAAUAACAAUUGUGAUACUAUAACACGUCAUAUUGGAACGUUUCUUGUAACGCCCAACUUUGUCAAUAUGGAACAUUUCUCGAGGUCUUGAAAAACUGUUAUAUGCCAUUUUGGAACGUUUCUUGUAAAACUGUAAUAAUGCCAUAUUAGAAAGAAGAUGAGUGAAUAAGGCGUGUAAACUACCUAUAUGGGGAUAGAUAAGAUACUAUAAAAUUAAAAUAUG